rnacentral:rRNA from 1 species
GACGAACGCUGGCGGCGUGCUUAACACAUGCAAGUCGAACGAAGAGCGAUGGAAGCUUGCCUCUAUCAAUCUUAGUGGCGAACGGGUGAGUAACGCGUAAUCAACCUGCCCUUCAGAGGGGGACAACAGUUGGAAACGACUGCUAAUACCGCAUACGAUCUAAUCUCGGCAUCGAGGAAAGAUGAAGGGUGGCCUCUAUUUAUAAGCUAUCACUGAAGGAGGGGAUUGCGUCUGAUUAGCUAGUUGGAGGGGUAACGGCCCACCAAGGCGAUGAUCAGUAGCCGGUCUGAGAGGAUGAACGGCCACAUUGGGACUGAGACACGGCCCAGACUCCUACGGGAGGCAGCAGUGGGGAAUCUUCCGCAAUGGACGAAAGUCUGACGGAGCAACGCCGCGUGAGUGAUGACGGCCUUCGGGUUGUAAAGCUCUGUUAAUCGGGACGAAAGGCCUUCUUGCGAACAGUUAGAAGGAUUGACGGUACCGGAAUAGAAAGCCACGGCUAACUACGUG